rnacentral:tRNA from 1 species
GAGGACAUAGCUCAGUGGUAGAGUGUGUGCUUAGCAUGCACAAGGUCCUGGGAUCAAUCCCCACUACCUCCU